rnacentral:rRNA from 1 species
UACGUAGGGUGCGAGCGUUGUCCGGAAUUACUGGGCGUAAAGAGCUCGUAGGUGGUUUGUCGCGUCGUUCGUGAAAACUCACAGCUUAACUGUGGGCGUGCGGGCGAUACGGGCAGACUGGAGUACUGCAGGGGAGACUGGAAUUCCUGGUGUAGCGGUGGAAUGCGCAGAUAUCAGGAGGAACACCGGUGGCGAAGGCGGGUCUCUGGGCCGAAAUUGACGCUGAGGAGCGAAAGCGUGGGGAGCAAACAGG